CCUACGGGGGGCAGCAGUGGGGAAUAUUGCACAAUGGGGGAAACCCUGAUGCAGCAAAGCCGCGUGAGUGAAGAAGUAUCUCGGUAUGUAAAGCUCUAUCAGCAGGGAAGAAAGUGACGGUACCUGACUCGGAAACCCCGGCUAACUACGUGCCAGCAGCCGCGGUAAUACGUAGGGGGCAAGCGUUAUCCGGAUUUACUGGGGGUAAAGGGAGCGUAGACGGUGUGGCAAGUCUGAAGUGAAAGCCCGGGGCGCAACCCCGGGACUGCUUUGGAAACUGUCAUGCUGGAGUGCGGGAGAGGUAAGCGGAAUGCCUAGUGUAGCGGUGAAAUGCGUAGAUAUUAGGAGGAACACCAGUGGCGAAGGCGGCUUACUGGACAGUAACUGACGUUGAGGCUCGAAAGCGUGGGGAGCAAACAGGAUUAGAUACCCUAGUAGUC
rnacentral:rRNA from 1 species